GUCAGGAUGGCCGGGCUUUCUAAGGCCCUGCGUUCAGGUCGCAGUCUCCCCUGGAGGCGUGGGUUUGAAUCCCACUUCUGACA
rnacentral:tRNA from 1 species